GUCUACAUCCAUACCACUCUGAUCUUGACAGCCAAGCAGGGUCAAACCUGGAUAGUACUUGGAUGGGAGACUGCCUGGGAAACUGGGUGUUGUAGGCU
ensembl:rRNA 5S_rRNA 5S ribosomal RNA